ACCUCUACUAUGUAGGUGGACCCUGGAAUCUGGAACCAGGAGACCCAGGGUCAAGCUGAACUGCUCCCCUGCCCCAGGGCUCAUGGACCAGACCCCUACCACCUAUAGAGUGACAUGGCUCAUCUUUCCUCAACAUCCACCAGUGUGUACUUCAGCUGCAGAUCAACCCCCAGUCCCAGCUUGAGCGUGAACGGGCUGGUGAUAUGGCCUGACUUGGCCCCUCCUGCACCCCAUCCUGGUUCUUGGAUCUGCCAUUGGAUGUUAUGGACUGGCCCAACCUGACACGCGCCCUGACCUGACCCACAUGUAUGCAAGCAGGGUUUCCACUGUGCACCUUUGGCCAUGAGGAUUUCCAAAAGCUGCAGGAUGCUUCUAACAGGGGUUGAGAGGAACUCCUGGUGAUGUGGCCCAGGCAGUCCUUGAAUCCUCACAAACAGAAGAACGUGAGUAAGGCAGACUGCCAGGGCUCCCUCGGGCAUUUGCUGUGUGGUAGGAGGCCCAGCUGUCCCUAGAAGGUAACAGCACUUCAUCUCGAAGU